GAACUUGAACGAGAGCAAACGCAGUUGCGAAUGAUAAAUAACGAGGUUGUGAUGAGACGGACGCAAGAGAUUUAAUCAACAUCUUUUCCAGGGAGAAACUAUUUUAUUUUUGUUUUCUGAUUUAUACCUUUCCUUAGCCGGGUUUUUUUUUUUGUCCUUGCUGAAGACUUGUGUUCCUGAAUCUGUCCUUGCCGAAUAUUCAUAUUACGGUUUGGACUUGCAAGCCAUUCCACCAACUCGUACCUGAAACAGAGAAAAGAGAGUGAAAUCUGCCGAACUGGUAGGAUCAAAAUAUUUUUUUUAUUAGCUUUGAGUUUUUU